UUCUUGCUGACGAGUGGCGGACGGGUGAGUAAUGCUUGGGAAUCUGGCUUAUGGAGGGGGAUAACGACGGGAAACUGUCGCUAAUACCGCGUAAUGUCGAGAGACGAAAGUGCGGGACUGAGAGGCCGCAUGCCAUAGGAUGAGCCCAAGUGGGAUUAGGUAGUUGGUGGGGUAAAGGCCUACCAAGCCUGCGAUCUCUAGCUGGUCUGAGAGGAUGACCAGCCACACUGGAACUGAGACACGGUCCAGACUCCUACGGGAGGCAGCAGUGGGGAAUAUUGCGCAAUGGGGGGAACCCUGACGCAGCCAUGCCGCGUGAAUGAAGAAGGCCUUAGGGUUGUAAAGUUCUUUCGGUAUUGAGGAAGGUUGAUGUGUUAAUAGAACAUCAAAUUGACGUUAAAUACAGAAGAAGCACCGGCUAACUCCGUGCCAGCAGCCGCGGUAAUACGGAGGGUGCGAGCGUUAAUCGGAAUAACUGGGCGUAAAGGGCACGCAGGCGGUUAUUUAAGUGAGGUGUGAAAGCCCCGGGCUUAACCUGGGAAUUGCAUUUCAGACUGGGUAACUAGAGUACUUUAGGGAGGGGUAGAAUUCCACGUGUAGCGGUGAAAUGCGUAGAGAUGUGGAGGAAUACCGAAGGCGAAGGCAGCCCCUUGGGAAUGUACUGACGCUCAUGUGCGAAAGCGUGGGGAGCAAACAGGAUUAGAUACCCUGGUAGUCCACGCUGUAAACGCUGUCGAUUUGGGGGUUGGGGUUUAACUCUGGCGCCCGUAGCUAACGUGAUAAAUCGACCGCCUGGGGAGUACGGCCGCAAGGUUAAAACUCAAAUGAAUUGACGGGGGCCCGCACNAGCGGUGGAGCAUGUGGUUUAAUUCGAUGCAACGCGAAGAACCUUACCUACUCUUGACAUCCUAAGAAGAGCUCAGAGAUGAGCUUGUGCCUUCGGGAACUUAGAGACAGGUGCUGCAUGGCUGUCGUCAGCUCGUGUUGUGAAAUGUUGGGUUAAGUC
rnacentral:rRNA from 1 species